rnacentral:rRNA from 1 species
AUACGUAUGUCGCAAGCGUUAUCCGGAAUUAUUGGGCGUAAAGCGAGUCUAGGCGGCUUGUUAAGUCAGAUGUGAAAAUGCGGGGCUCAACUCCGUAUUGCGUUUGAAACUGGCAGGCUAGAGUACUGGAGAGGUGGGCGGAACUACAAGUGUAGAGGUGAAAUUCGUAGAUAUUUGUAGGAAUGCCGAUAGUGAAGACAGCUCACUGGACAGAUACUGACGCUAAAGCUCGAAAGCGUGGGGAGCGAACAGGAUUAGAAACCCGUGUAGUCC